UACGGAGGGUGCAAGCGUUGUCCGGAUUUAUUGGGUUUAAAGGGUGCGUAGGUGGAAUGGUAAGUCAGUGGUGAAAUCUCCAAGCUUAACUUGGAACUGCCGUUGAUACUAUCAUUCUUGAAUAUCGUGGAGGUAAGCGGAAUAUGUCAUGUAGCGGUGAAAUGCUUAGAUAUGACAUAGAACACCGAUUGCGAAGGCAGCUUGCUACACGAUCAUUGACACUGAGGCACGAAAGCGUGGGGAUCAAACAGG
rnacentral:rRNA from 1 species